rnacentral:misc_RNA from 1 species
GCUGCAGUUGGCAAGGAGCAACAUAGAGAUUGAUUGCUGCUGCAAAUUACAUAAGAUGAUACAAGUACCUGCAACGGAACGGUUUUGAAUUUGUGUUUAUCGUCAUAAUUGGGAGUGGGUUAAUUUUUUCAUGCGAGAAUGAGCUUCAAUAGAGUCAUUUUGCAAAUGUUUUUAGCAACACAAUAUGAUUGUGGUUUUUUUUUAAAAAAAAAAAGAAAACAAAAAAGAAAAAAACUAAAUUUCAACUAUGACGAUAAACACA